CAAUAGCGUAUAUUUAAGUUGCUGCAGUUAAAAAGCUCGUAGUUGGAUUUCGGGUGGGAAUGGCCGGUCCGCCGUUUCGGUGUGCACUUGCUACGCCCACCUUGCUGCCGGGGACGUGCUCUUGAGUUCACGCUCGGGACACGGAGUCGGCGAGGUUACUUUGAGUAAAUUAGAGUGUUCAAAGCAGGCCUACGCUCUGAAUACAUUAGCAUGGAAUAACACGAUAGGACUCUGGCCUAUCUUGUUGGUCUGUAGGACCGGAGUAUUGAUUAAGAGGGACAGUCGGGGGCAUUCGUAUUUCAUUGUCAGAGGUGAAAUUCUUGGAUUUAUGAAAGACGAACUACUGCGAAAGCAUUUGCCAAGGAUGUUUUCAUUAA
rnacentral:rRNA from 1 species